rnacentral:lncRNA from 1 species
CACCAUUCAAGAAGGAUAUCAACAAAUUGGAAGUUGUCCGAAGAAGAGCCACCAAAAUGAACAAAGAUCUGGAAGGCAAGCCCUCUGAGGAACGACCAAGAGAGCUGGGUAUGUUUAGCUUUGAGAAAAGAAGAUUGAUAGUCAUGUCUAAAUAUUUGAAAGGAUGUCACAUUGAGGAAGGAGCAAGCUUGUUUUCUGCUGCCCUGGAGACUAGGACACGGAACAAUGGCUUCAAACUACAGGAAAGGAGAUUCCACCUGAACAUUAGGAAGAACUUCCUCACAGUGAGGGCUGUUCGGCAGUAGAGCUAUCUCUGCCCCGGACUGUGGUGGAGGUUCCUUCUUUGGAAGCUUUUAAGCAGAGGCUGGAUGGCCAUCUGUCAGGGGUGGUUUGGAUGCAAUUUCCUGCUUCUUGGCAGGGGGUUGGACUGGAUGGCCCAUGAGGUCUCUUCCAACUCUAUUAUUCUAUGAUCCUAUGAUUCUAUGAAUUGCAUUCUAAGCUAAUUGUCUGAAAUGUUGUGUAUCUUGCUCACAGUGGCAACAAGGUGAGCAUGAUUUUUUUAAGUUCAAGUAGAAAAGCACACUCUCCUUGUUUGUGCUCAGCUUACCUCAAUUGCUGCAAAUUGAGUACAAAAUUCAAAAGGAACUCAAUGAAUUCAAUGGAGAGAGAGACGAGAAGAGGGGCAGAAUCAUGCCUUCCCAGGAGACUUAGGAAAAAAGAAACUGCUGCAGUCCUUUCUGACUUUGUGAGUACUUCCUUAUCAUAAUACUUGUCAUUUUGACCUCACACUGAUAUUACUUGGCCAUACAUAUCCAGUUUUCAUCUGUUAAGUGUAUGAGGGCAGUGUUAGCCUUGGGGGGGUAAGCCAAAAAGAUGUGAUUUCCAUGACUACUUAGACUCAAUUUAACCCUCUCUGGGGGAGAUUCCACCAAAAGUCAGCAGAGUAGCAAAAGCAAAACUUUCAAAUGCAGCAGUUACUUACACGGGGUGAGCAAAGAGAAGCCUUUGACCAUUUAGGAUUGCAAUGGACUGCAGAGUCUCAAUAAAAGUUCAAUAAGUAUUUAUUCAGGUAAAAAGAACUCCAUUGUAGAUAGAAAGGCUUGGGAGCUGUCUAGUCUACUCUAGACUGGUUUCUAAGGGAAAAUAAGAAAGGAAAAAUAACAAGCAUCUAAGUUACAUCUUGCCAGGAGAUAUGGCAGGACGUGUUAUUAGCUUGAAGAACAAAGGGAGAAGAAAGAACCAAAAUGGUUCCAACCUCAUGGUCCCCCGAUUGUGGAACUCACUGCCCAUUGAGAUUAGGCAAGCCCCCACAUUAGUAGCCUUCAAGAAAGACUUGAAAACAUGGCUCUUCCGUUGUGCUUUUGGAGAGUAACUAUGUUAUAUUUCUUUUCCGUUGCUCCCUCUAAUAUCUAUCCUCUAGAUUACACCACUUCCUUAUGACCCUGUUCACUAUGGUUUUUAUUCUUAUGUCUUUC